rnacentral:rRNA from 1 species
GCUGUUGGCGUGCCUAAUACAUGCAAGUCGAGCGAUGAUUGGAGAUAGCUUGCUAUUUUCAUGAAGAGCGGCGAACGGGUGAGUAACGCGUGGGAAAUCUGCCGAGUAGCGGGGGACAACGUUUGGAAACGAACGCUAAUACCGCAUAACAAUAAGAAUCGCAUGAUUCUUAUUUGAAAGAAGCAAUUGCUUCACUACUUGAUGAUCCCGCGUUGUAUUAGCUAGUUGGUAGUGUAAAGGACUACCAAGGCGAUGAUACAUAGCCGACCUGAGAGGGUGAUCGGCCACACUGGGACUGAGACACGGCCCAGACUCCUACGGGAGGCAGCAGUAGGGAAUCUUCGGCAAUGGGGGCAACCCUGACCGAGCAACGCCGCGUGAGUGAAGAAGGUUUUCGGAUCGUAAAACUCUGUUGUUAGAGAAGAACGUUAAGUAGAGUGGAAAAUUACUUAAGUGACGGUAUCUAACCAGAAAGGGACGGCUAACUACGUGCCAGCAGCCGCGGUAAUACGUAGGUCCCAAGCGUUGUCCCGGGUUUAUUGGGCGUAAAGCGAGCGCAGGUGGUUUCUUAAGUCUGAUGUAAAAGGCAGUGGCUCAACCAUUGUGUGCAUUGGAAACUGGGAGACUUGAGUGCAGGAGAGGAGAGUGGAAUUCCAUGUGUAGCGGUGAAAUGCGUAGAUAUAUGGAGGAACCCGGAGGCGAAAGCCGGU